rnacentral:rRNA from 1 species
GACGAACGCUGGCGGCGUGCUUAACACAUGCAAGUCGAACGGAAAGGCCCUGCUUUUGUGGGGUGCUCGAGUGGCGAACGGGUGAGUAACACGUGAAUAACCUGCCCUUGACUUUGGGAUAACUUCAGGAAACUGGGGCUAAUACCGGAUAGGAGCUCCUGCUGCAUGGUGGGGGUUGGAAAGUUUCGGCGGUUGGGGAUGGACUCGCGGCUUAUCAGCUUGUUGGUGGGGUAGUGGCUUACCAAGGCUUUGACGGGUAGCCGGCCUGAGAGGGUGACCGGCCACAUUGGGACUGAGAUACGGCCCAGACUCCUACGGGAGGCAGCAGUGGGGAAUAUUGCACAAUGGGCGGAAGCCUGAUGCAGCAACGCCGCGUGCGGGAUGACGGCCUUCGGGUUGUAAACCGCCUUCGCCUGUGACGAAGCGUGAGUGACGGUAAUGGGUAAAGAAGCACCGGCUAACUACGUG